GAUCGUGCCACUGCACUCCAGCCUGGCCACAGAGUGAGACUCCAUCUCAAAAAAAAAAAAAAAAGACAUUUGCCCAAGGGUCACAGCUGUAGAGGGGCUGAUGUGGUUUGAUUCCAGGGUGUCUGGUUCCUCUCUGGAAGCAACCAAAGUGCCUGUGAUUGGGGUAGUGACGAAGCACUCUGGGCUGCUACAGGGCAGAUACUGUGAAGAGUCAUCUUUGCCUGUCCCAUAUCUAUUCCCAUUCCUUCUGAUGGCAACACCUUGGUUUUUUUUUGCGUGUGGGGGAACCAGGUCCUUUCACCAAGCUGUGUGGUGUUCAUAGGGAUAGCCCCUCCUCCGAACCCAGGAGUGGCAGUUCACAGCCCUGACUGAUCACAGUGUUCCGUGGCCUAGCCCAGGCACUGCCUAACCACCCCAGGCAGUGGGACUGAACUCAGGGGUUCACUGGACCUAUCAGGAAAGAGAGACCUGUCUUGCUUCUGGACUUGGAGCUGUGAUGAGGCAAGUGGGUCAGGGGCCAACACAUUGAGAGCGUUGGCCCACAAACGCGCCCAGGCAGAGAACGGUGCGGCCAAGCCACACAGAGAGACAACUCCCUAGUGACACGCUGUGAACACCUGCAGCCACCCCUGCCUGAACUGGAGCUUUUCCUCUUCAACUCUUCAGUUAUGUGAGGCAAGAUGUUGCCUUUUUUGCUUAGUGCUGUGAGUUGAGUGUAUAGCAGUUACAAUCAAAGAAUCCUGAAUAAUGCUGCAAGCAUGGUGACUAUCUACAUGGGAAUAUGCAGUACUCCAGUGAAAACAAAACAAAUUAAUUUUGGAAUCUGAUGACCAUAAUCGAAAAACAUUCAUGGAGGUAUAUAAAAAUUAUAACAAAAUUGAAAGUAGCAUAUCUCCUCAUGAAGCAGGUUAAGUGUAUACACAAAGGAGGAGGAGGAAAAGGUGAGGAAGAAUCUGCCCUUGUGGGGAAGUGACAGAGGGAGAAGAGGCUGAUGCAGUCCUGCAUCCAGGCCCAGCUCUGCCAGCAGCUGCGUACCCCUGAACAAGCCCCCCCACCUCUUCGGGCCUCAGUUUCCCCGUCUAUGAAAGAAAAGGAGUCUGGCUUCCAUAGCUGCCCCACCUGAUAUGCUAGGUGCCAGCGCGUCCUCAGUCCUGUCACGAGAAGCCUUCCCUCUAGGAUCCCAGGAGGAGCCUGAAAUCCUGUCUGGGAUCCCGACGGCCCAGGUGCUGACCCUGCCUCGGGUUGUGUCUGCUGGGAAGUCUGAUUUCUGCUCAUCUCUCCCCAUUUCUUUCUUCCCGUACAGUGGGCUGAUAUGCUGGAACGUCGAUGCAGCCAGUGAUGUGUUCGAUGAGAAUGUAUUGAGGGUAAAGCUGGUCAGAAUCCAAGUGUGUGUCAUCUGAACUCUUGAAUCGUGGAUGGAAGCUUUGACUACAGUGAUGCAUUUGCUAAUGGUAUUCUUCUUCCCUGAAUUAUGACUAAGAGGAACUUUUUUCCCAUGAGGUUCUUUCGCUGCUCGUGACUUAGUCAGGAACCUCGGUGGACGGUGUCUAAGCACAGAGACAGCUGCAGGUCUCUGGCCGGGGCUAUACUCCCGUGGGACUGAAAGGUGCCUGUGUGGAAAUGUCUGAUCGCCACUGUCCAGUUCAGGUCCUGCAAACUGAAGUUCAUUCUUUAAAAUACAAGCAAAAGAAUGAAAAGGAAGACAACAAUUUCAAACUAAAAUGUCACUGCAGUGAGGGUAUCAGCCACUAAAAGAACUCCGUGACUCUCCUUUGGAUACAGCAGGACAAAAUUUUAGGCUACAAAUGCUGCCCCCAACCCCAUGGUUACACAAUGACUCUGCCCAAUUAACUCCCAAGCCAAGGAUUUCGGCCCUUAUAACCUCCUGACAGACUAACAGGAUUAGGUCGGGCCAGCUCGAUGCCUCUGGCCAGCAGAAAGCAGUUGGAAGAUGAAAUCUUCACCCACAUGCUAAAGACUUCUUAUUGUUGCUCUGUUAGUGGGGAGAUGUGGAGUCCUAACCAGGGGAAGGGAGUCAGGUUUGCAGGACCAAGGGAAAGCAAAAAGAGAAAGCAGAUAAGCUACAAGUCUGCCUUUCUCAAGGUCUGGGAUACACAGCCCUCCUGUGCAAAUAACUCACAGUCUUCCUGCACCCAGCUAUCACAGGACACCUGCAAGUUAACUCACUGCAAUCUUGGCAUUACCAGUACUACACAAAGCCCUCUUCAGCACAAGCACUGCCCUACAAAAUCUCCACAAGUCUUUGUUUCUCUGCAGUCAGCUUCUGCUGACUUGCCCAUUGUCUCUCUGGCAAUGUAUUUUCCUACUUUCUCGAAUAAAUCUGCCUUUCUGUACCAACAACUGCCUUGGUAAAUUCUUUUGUUGUUGUUGUUGUUGAGACGGAGUCUUGCUGU